rnacentral:rRNA from 1 species
AGUGAACGCUGGCGGCAGGCCUAACACAUGCAAGUCGAGCGGCAGCGCGGGGGCAACCCUGGCGGCGAGCGGCGGACGGGUGAGGAAUUCGUCGGAAUCUGCCUUUUUGUGGGGGAUAACGUAGGGAAACUUACGCUAAUACCGCAUACGUCCUACGGGAGAAAGUGGGGGACCGCAAGGCCUCACGCAGAAAGAUGAGCCGACGACCGAUUAGCUAGUUGGUGGGGUAAAGGCCCACCAAGGCGACGAUCGGUAGCUGGUCUGAGAGGAUGAUCAGCCACACUGGGACUGAGACACGGCCCAGACUCCUACGGGAGGCAGCAGUGGGGAAUAUUGGACAAUGGGCGCAAGCCUGAUCCAGCCAUGCCGCGUGUGUGAAGAAGGCCUUCGGGUUGUAAAGCACUGUUGUCCGGAAAGAAAUCCCUGGAGCUAAUACCUUCGGGGGAUGACGGUACCGGAAGAAUAAGCACCGGCUAACUUCGUG